GCGGGAAUAGCUCAAUCGCAGAGCGCAACCUUUGACGGGUUGAGACAGGGAGUGCGAAUCUCCCUCCCGCGCCA
rnacentral:tRNA from 1 species